ACAGAUCUUGCUUGCAUCAAAUGCUGCUUUGAGGGUCACUCAACACGGAUGCUUCCUGUUGCAUCCAGGAGGCCACCGGACCACUCACCACAGGAGCUGAUGCACAUUCUUCAUGCUGAACUUUACACCGUUGUCCCACCAUCCACUGAAUUGAACACCAUUCAGACUCAUGGCUGUAUCAGCAGUGACAUGCGUGUGGUGUGUAGAGACUCCAACGGUUGUGUCAGUGUUCUCUCGCUAACGGCGCCGGGGCUAGAGACCACGGCCCCAGGGGAAGGCUCUGAGGCCUGGAUCACAGCCAUCUCCUUCUAGGACACCCAGCUGCUCUACUCAGGUAACCCCCCCCCACACACACACGCCACCGGUUUCACUCACUUUUAGAAGUGGGGCAGGGUAGGCUAAAGCAGAUAACAUGAAUUCAGACUAGGGAUCGACCGAAUAUAUCGGUCGGCCGAUAUUAUCGGACCGAUAUUCGCGUUUUUUACGUGUAUCGUAUCGGCCGAUACGCGGCUGAUUUUCGCCGAUAUUUUUUCACUUUUUUUUUUUUUACUUGUUCUACCUCACCUGUUUUUAAUAUUUGUUAAAUAUUGCUCAUCAAAUUUUUCUUACUUGUUUUACCUCACCUGUUUUUAAUAUUUGUUAAAUAUUGUUUUUUAUAUUGAAGUUCAAUAAAUGUUCCUUUUUUUAAAUUGAGACUUGUAACAUUUGUUAUCAGUGUAAUUUUUAUGAUUGAGGGAGCAAAAGCAGUAUCGGCUCUAAAUAUCGGUAUCGGCGUAUCAGAGUAUCGGCUAAGGCUGAUGAAAAAAUAUCGGUAUCGUAUCGGCCCUAAAAAAUCUGUAUCGGUCGAUCCCUAAUUCAGACUUAUAGAUUUUAUUAUAAAAAACAAUACUUUAUAAAAAAAAUAUUUUUUUUUAAUUUGAGCUGCUAUAAUGCCGUUUCCCCUCGGUGAUGAAUGAAGUACAUAUGUAUUUAUGUAUCUAUCAAUAUAGUUGUUGGGGUGUUUGUCUCCCAGCUGAAAAAGUAUUUGAAUCAACCACCAAUGUCGCUGGAGAGGGAGGCCCAGAAAGGGCCAUCAAGGCCUCAAUUCAGUCAAACUACAGGAGUCGGAUGAUAAGCAUAUUAACUAAAGUUGUGUGUGUGUGUGUGUGUGUGUGUGUGUGUGUGUGUGUGUGUGUGUGUCACAGCAAGCUGAAAGGCUGGGACCCCAGGAUGGAGCUCUCCUCUCCCACUUUCACCAGCAAGAGAAGAUGCUGCUGCUACUGCUGCUGCCUCAGCACUACACUUGACGAGAGUCUGCACUACGGUCUGUCCAAAGGCUGCAUCCCACAUGGCCGGUGGAACUACGUGCUCUUUAGCACAGGGGUCCAGGACCUCCUUGUCCCCAGUCUGGGAGGGUCCUGAACCCCACGGCCUGGACCCCCUUGGGGGAGGGGGGAAUUAAUUUGGCCUUUUCAAAUUGAAAUAAUAAAUGGAAAGGCAUGGCUUGGACAAUCUCUCCAAAGGCUAAUGCCUCCUUUGCUCUCAUUUAAUAACUGGAGGAGAGACCCUAGCUGCUCCUUCUGGCCCGCAUAUGCAUGGCGCUUAUAGGGAGGCCAACCUCUAAGCUGUGAGGUUGGGCUCCCGGGAGAUGCCAAGGCCGGGUCUCUGCCUCCAGGGCGUACACAAACAAGUGUGUCUUGUUGACUGGAGGAGAGUCCAUAGCUGCUACUUUGGCCCGAUAUGCAUGGCGCUUAUAGGGAGGCCAACCUCUAGCGGUGAGGUUGGCCUCCCGGGAGAUACCAUGGCCCGGGUCUCUGCCUCCAGGUGGGGGCGGGGACUUGUACAGGGUCAGUGAUGUAUGUUGUCUGUUGUAGUUGUUUCAUGUUUGUUGGUUUUAAUAAAUCCAGUUUCUGACUAAACUGAAGUGUUUAUUGAUGUGUUGAUAUGAAUUUAAAUGGUAUAUCCUCUGGAUUCAUUGCAUGUUUGUGGCUAUAAUUAUCAACCCUGUAAUGCAAAGACAGGCUUCAAACAUUGCUUUCAGGAAAACCUGGCCUGUCAUGAGUAUUUGUGCUGCGGUGAUAUCGUUUGAAAGUAAAAACUUAUGAUGGGACAACAAAGUCAAACGGAAAUUGAAUCUCACAAUUAUAUAUGUUACCAAAACAAAGUUGGUGCUUUUUGGCUUAAACUCAAAAGUACAAAUCUACCCAUACUAUAUACAGUAUAACUACACAAAACAGCGUAUACAAUGUACAGUAUAUUAUACUUUCAUACAGGUGAUCAAACCAAGGAUCCGCUCUCUACAAUGUCCCAUGUGGAGCAAAGGUUAUCUUAUGAAAAGGUAAGAAAGCCCUUCAGUGUCUACUACUGACGGUACACUUGACAGUGUAGUACGGUCUACAGCUAUGCUUAGAACGCUUCCGAACAUCGCCGAAACUCCACCG
rnacentral:lncRNA from 1 species